rnacentral:rRNA from 1 species
AUUGAACGCUGGCGGCAGGCCUAACACAUGCAAGUCGAACGAGUGGCGGACGGGUGAGUAAUGUAUGGGAAAAUGCCCGAUGGAGGGGGAUAACUACUGGAAACGGUAGCUAAUACAGCAUACCAUCGGAAGUGCCAAGAUGGGAUUAGGUAGAAGGUGGGGUAACGACUCACCUAGGCGACGAUCCCUAGCUGGUCUGAGAGGAUGACCAGCCACACGAGAACUGCGACACGGUCCAGACUCCGACGGGAGGCAGCAGUGGGGAAGAUUGCACAAUUGGCGCAAGCCUGAUGCAGCCAUGCCGCGUGUAGGAAGAAGGCCUUCGGGUUGUAAAGUACUUUCAGCGAAGAGGCGUUACUCGCAGAAGAAGCACCGGCUAACUCCGUGCCAGAAGCCGCGGUAAUAC